rnacentral:rRNA from 1 species
GAGCAACCUGCCCCGGACUCUGGGAUAAGCGCUGGAAACGGCGUCUAAUACCGGAUAUGAGACACCACCGCAUGGUGAGUGUUUGGAAAGAUUUUUCGGUCUGGGAUGGGCUCACGGCCUAUCAGCUUGUUGGUGAGGUAAUGGCUCACCAAGGCGUCGACGGGUAGCCGGCCUGAGAGGGUGACCGGCCACACUGGGACUGAGACACGGCCCAGACUCCUACGGGAGGCAGCAGUGGGGAAUAUUGCACAAUGGGCGAAAGCCUGAUGCAGCAACGCCGCGUGAGGGAUGACGGCCUUCGGGUUGUAAACCUCUUUUAGCAGGGAAGAAGCGAAAGUGACGGUACCUGCAGAAAAAGCGCCGGCUAACUACGUGCCAGCAGCCGCGGUAAUACGUAGGGCGCAAGCGUUAUCCGGGAAUUAUUGGGCGUAAAGAGCUCGUAGGCGGUUUGUCGCGUCUGCUGUGAAAUCCCGAGGCUCAACCUCGGGCCUGCAGUGGGUACGGGCAGACUAGAGUGCGGUAGGGGAGAUUGGAAUUCCUGGUGUAGCGGUGGAAUGCGCAGAUAUCAGGAGGAACACCGAUGGCGAAGGCAGAUCUCUGGGCCGUAACUGACGCUGAGGAGCGAAAGGGUGGGGAGCAAACAGGCUUAGAUACCCUGGUAGUCCACCCCGUAAACGUUGGGAACUAGUUGUGGGGUCCAUUCCACGGAUUCCGUGACGCAGCUAACGCAUUAAGUUCCCCGCCUGGGGAGUACGGCCGCAAGGCUAAAACUCAAAGGAAUUGACGGGGACCCGCACAAGCGGCGGAGCAUGCGGAUUAAUUCGAUGCAACGCGAAGAACCUUACCAAGGCUUGACAUAUACGAGAACGGGCCAGAAAUGGUCAACUCUUUGGACACUCGUAAACAGGUGGUGCAUGGUUGUCGUCAGCUCGUGUCGUGAGAUGUUGGGUUAAGUCCCGCAACGAGCGCAACCCUCGUUCUAUGUUGCCAGCACGUAAUGGUGGGAACUCAUGGGAUACUGCCGGGGUCAACUCGGAGGAAGGUGGGGAUGACGUCAAAUCAUCAUGCCCCUUAUGUCUUGGGCUUCACGCAUGCUACAAUGGCCGGUACAAAGGGCUGCAAUACCGCGAGGUGGAGCGAAUCCCAAAAAGCCGGUCCCAGUUCGGAUUGAGGUCUGCAACUCGAC